AUUAUUGCUAGGCCGGGGGGCUUAUCCUCCCCUGUAACCCAAAACGGAUAUUUGUGGGGGCCGAAGCCCGGGGGGCGGUUUGCUUUUUAAGCAUUAGUCCUGCUCUAACCGAGGAGGCUCUGUCCUCAUUGGCUCUUAUCUCUGCGAACCGGGUCAGGCUGGGAACAGAGCAGCCCUAAGCUUAGACAAGAGUGCUUUGAGGGUUGCGGAGCAGAGGAAGGAGCAGGGUAAACUAGUGCUUGACUAGCUUAUCCACCUCCGGGCGCGCAUUCUU
rnacentral:SRP_RNA from 1 species